CCUUGCCCAUACCUAUUGUUGAAAAUAACAUACCUAUUGUUGAAAAUAACAUACCUAUUGUUGAAAAUAACAUGAUGACAAUAGGACAAACAAUAGGUACAUUCGUGGCAUGGCUAAUCAAUCUCAUACAAGUUGUUGAUGAGGAUUUCACUCAAUCUAAAAAGAAAAGGAUGAAUAAUACAAAUGAAUGUGUCGCACCUAA